rnacentral:rRNA from 1 species
UGGGGAAUUUUGGACAAUGGGCGAAAGCCUGAUCCAGCAAUGCCGCGUGUGUGAAGAAGGCCUUCGGGUUGUAAAGCACUUUUGUCCGGAAAGAAAUCCUUGGCUCUAAUACAGUCGGGGGAUGACGGUACCGGAAGAAUAAGCACCGGCUAACUACGUGCCAGCAGCCGCGGUAAUACGUAGGGUGCAAGCGUUAAUCGGAAUUACUGGGCGUAAAGCGUGCGCAGGCGGUUUGCUAAGACCGAUGUGAAAUCCCCGGGCUCAACCUGGGAACUGCAUUGGUGACUGGCAGGCUGGAGUAUGGCAGAGGGGGGUAGAAUUCCACGUGUAGCAGUGAAAUGCGUAGAGAUGUGGAGGAAUACCGAUGGCGAAGGCAGCCCCCUGGGCCAAUACUGACGCUCAUGCACGAAAGCGUGGGGAGCAAACAGGAUUAGAUACCCUGGUAGUCCACGCCCUAAACGAUGUCAACUAGUUGUUGGAGAUUCAUUUCCUUAGUAACGUAGCUAACGCGUGAAGUUGACCGCCUGGGGAGUACGGUCGCAAGAUUAAAACUUAAAUGAAUUGACGGGGUCAUAGCUGUUUCCUG